UACGGAGGGUGCAAGCGUUAUCCGGAUUCACUGGGCUUAAAGGGUGCGUAGGUGGCUUAGUAAGUCAGUGGUAAAAUCUCCGGGCUUAACCCGGAAACUGCCAUUGAUACUAUUAGUCUUGAAUACCGUGGAGGUCAGCGGAAUAUGUCAUGUAGCGGUGAAAUGCUUAGAUAUGACAUAGAACACCAAUUGCGAAGGCAGCUGGCUGCACGAGCAUUGACACUCAGGCACGGAAGCGUGGGGAUCAAACAGG
rnacentral:rRNA from 1 species